UAUCCAUCACGACCGGCGGAGGGACAGGCCCGUAGAUGCCGGGGCAGCCGCCCACGGGGUAACCCGCGGGGUUUGGUGCCAAGUCCUGCGGUUGCGUGGCGACACCCGACCGGAAGAUGGAGC
rnacentral:ncRNA from 2 species